ensembl:lncRNA
CCGGUGCUCACUCUAGGAAACGGAUUUAUUUCCCAAGUAAAGUUUAUGUCUUCCACGGGGUCGGGAUAAGGUGUGGCUAGGAAAUUCCUGACACCCGAGGACCAGUGAGUGCCUCGCAAGCCUGUGAGGGGCGGAGACCCUGGCCGUGGAGGAGGAGAAGCCGGCCGGCCGGGCCUGAGGCGAGGCGCGCGGGCGAGCGGGGAGGGCCGGGCUGAGCCAGCCGCCCCUUCCCCCCGCCGCCUCAAGGGCAGUGGCGAGCGCGGCGGGCGGGCCGGCCUGGGCUGUGCGGGUUCCCUGCGCCGCGCACUUGCGCACGGCCCCUUGCGUAACCGUCAGCGCCGGGGAUUCCCUAGAGGGGGGUCACUCUCUUCAACCAUUACACACAGCCGAGCUCCGCCGCGCCUCACAAAAUGGCGGCGCCCAUGGAUCCGGCGGCGGCCGCUCCCCGUCCCCAUUUUGUGCGAGGCGAGGGAUCUGUCAACAUGGAAUACCUCCGCCGAGGAUGCAUCUGACUGGGAAGCCCGCGUCAGGGAACGGAGCCCGCGGGGACCGUGUUGCACGACGUCGGCGACCGCCCGACGCUCAGUCCUCUUCCGUCUUCUCCGAGCGAAGCCUCCGAGGCCGCGCGCACGCUGCGAGAAAGGCAGCGGAAGGCAGAGGCGGGCCGCGGCCGGCUGCUCCGGGGACUCGCGGCGGGGUGACGGCGGGCCGGGAUCCGGAGGGACGAGGACCGGGCGGGCCGCUGUGGUCAAGCGUGAGCCGGCCUGUCGCCCUCGUGCGCGCUCGCCGAGGGGCCGCAGAAGCUUCGGCUCGGGGAACGCGGAGUCGCGGUGCCUGCAGCGGCGGCCCAGGCGACCGGGCAGACGCGCUCGGCAGACGCGUGCACCGUAGGGACGGAGACGGCACGAUCCUUGACCUUUUAAGUCGUCGGAGCCCUACCUGGGACUGUAUGUUGUUGAUGUCUUUAGGUGGACAUCGGAAACGUCCUUCUACCCAACUCUUGCACUGGGCAGGCCUGCUGGGCUUUUAAUUUUCAGGUCCAGGAGCAGAAUGGAGGGAUGACAUGUUGGCACUUUACAAGGGGCAGGUUGACACUUCGAAGGCAGCGAAUGCUAUGAGUAUCGGAGGCCACCAGAACUGUAGCGCCAUGACCGCCAUCCGGCUGGAUUUACUGCUUGUGGGCUUCUUCUGUCCCCAACUCUGUGGCCCGUGUGGAUUUCUAAAGACUUGAAAGAGCAGCAUCUCCCAGCUAAGAGAUUCGAUGUGGGGUCCGUGUCUAAGUUGUAGGUGCCCUCCAGCCUUGUGAAACGGUGUGGUCAUUUAGAGGGCGCUAUCGUACGCACAAGGUUCAAGCUAAAGACAAGGACAUAAGAAUUUAGGAGAUCACUCAAGGUUCUUUCGUGGAAAUGCAGUUGGAAGCCUGAGCUAAGGAAAACCACUUCGUUUACGGAGUUGAAAUAGUUGGAGCUAGCAGACCCGUGGCAGUCGUGAGACACACAACCUAGCUGUUAUUUUGGUUGUUACCCUCUGGAAAAUAGGUGUAUAAAGGACUGCAUUAGUGAGAAGUUCAUCUCCCACUCCGUUGUUUGACUAACUGGGCAUGCCUAGAUACAUGUGAAUGUAAUAAUGAGGGUAUCGUCUUAUCAAAGUGUCCCGUGCUGCUACUGUCGGCGCCGCUGCGGUUUGCUGCAGGGUCCCAGAACCGUAGUGGAGCAUGAACCCACAUUUGCUUUUGUGAGUUUACUCACAAAAUAUUUUAUCUUUCAUCAAGUUUUUGUGCCUUGUCUGUGGCCCAGUGUAUAGUUGAAGCCUUUUUAAGUGUGGUCUCAUACUAUGUAGUUCAGGCUGGCCUUGAACUCUGUCAUCUCACCUGCUCACUUGUGGACUCAGGGGCCUGUCAGCUCAGCUGGCCUUAAUGCAAUGCGGCUGAAACGGGAACUUGAGGAAAAGUCAGCUGGCUGGGGUUCCCAGGGCACAGGGGGGAAGGAAAGUUUAGCUGAAGUGGACACAGGUGAAAGGCUAAGGCAGAUUCGUGAGGGAACAUUUGCUGAUGCAGACACAGGAGAGCAGAUGUUCUGCUAAAGCAAGCCAGGCAAAGGACACAUGAUGAAGGAUUCUUUGCUAACAACACGCCAGUAUUGGUCUGCCUUACACUGCAUUUGUCCGAACUCCAUAGAGAGCAACACACCCAAAAACAAAACAAAACAAAACCAACAACAAAAACCAAAAAAAAACCUCGGGUGAUGUGCUGCAAUUUCUUGCUGCUUCCUCGGACUCUGGCUGAUUGGCAGAGCCAUGUUAGCUGAGACAGCUGCACGUGCUGAGGCAAGGCCUAUGGAGGACACGUGAUGUUUGGAGAGCAUAAAUAGGACUCAACAGUGACGGAGACAGCCUGACUUGCUGGUACAGCUAGCUGUACAGUGCUUGUGGGUCUCGAAACCACUGAUCUCCGCUUCCCUGAGAGAGGCACAGCCGAGAACUUGUGGUGUUUGUCCCGGACCCUCCUGCUGACUCGAGCUGAGGCUGAAGCCUGGCUGUCUCUGCUAGGUCAUGCCAUCACUGCUGAGUCCCAGUUGCUAUCCCGACUCUACUGAACUGGACUCCUGGUGUCCUGGAAGUGUUUGCAAGUGGAUGAACGCCUGAUGCUGACCUGUGAACUGACCUGCCGAUUUUUAGACAACACAGAUGGGAGUUGCUCCAAAGAAGCUUUCUAAACAGGUCCACUGUAUCCUUUCUUUUCCACUACUACCGGGGUGGGUGGUGGGUUACAAGGGAGGUUAAAGCAUUUAAGAACCAUCAUUAAAAGUAGGAGUUGAAAAGGUUAAAGUUACAUGUAGCUAUAAUGAUAGUGGUUUGUAAAGGUGUCUUUUAGGGAUGGGCGGGGGGUGGUAAUACACAUUCACAAGGCUUUGUAAUGUAUGACUUUGGUGUUUUUGUUUACUGUGGCACCAGGGCUUGAAUCAGAGCUUCCUAUCUGGUAGCCAUGCACUCUGCCAUUAAUCUAUACCCCUAGUAGUUCUUGUUUCUGUUUUUGUUGGUUUGUUUUUGAGACUAUUCAUUUAUGAGUUGAUGCCUAGGCCUAAGCUAGUCUUGAGCCUCAACUAGUCCAUAACUCGAUUAGCCCGUUGAUACUCUUCUGUGUCUGCCAUGUGGCUGGUCACCUCUCCUGAGUUGCAUACUGAGUGCAGGUAGGACAUCUUCGUGCACCUCACUCUUUGUCAGCGUUCCUGUAUUUCUGCCAGAUGUCCCACCUUUGCUAUAGGCCACUCAGCUCUUUAUUGACAAGUGACACUUUUACACAGUGCACAAGAGAUUGUCUUCCCCUACAGUGCAAGGCUUACAGGUGUGCACCACCAGGCCAUUAAACAUGUUCAAGUGUGUAAAUUUGAUGUGCCCUUUGGUCGUAUUUAGAUCCUUCAUGAAUAAUUCUUGAUGCCUAAGUCAACAGCUCCAUGCAUUUAUGGGUCAACAAAUUUCUGUUAAGUCUGUGGGCCUUCAGUCACGGCAGCUCCAGCAGCCUUGGGCAGCUGGCAGGAGGUAGCCUCUGCUUGCACAGUGCCCGCCCGUGUACUGGGUCUAGUGGUGCACGUUUGCUAGGCUCCUCCUGUGAUAGGGAGCUAUGGUCCUGCGUUCUCUGUACAGGGACAAAUCUCAAGAAGAAAGUGACUAAAGUUCCUUGCAGAAAGUACUUGGUUCAGAAGUAGACAGCCUCAAAGAGUAUCCAAGUUGGGCUACACUUACUGUCAAAUAUGGUGGAGAUAAGACUUGGCUUGCUGUAAUUAGGCAAGUUAAAAUUGUGGUUGAUUCUUGAUGGACUCACUGGAAAUAGGUCUGGAAACUUAGGUGGUCACAUAUAAAACAUGGGGUGAGCUCCUUCAUACCAGAUUGUCCAGGAUUGGGAGCAGAGGCCUCUGGUUAGUCUUCAGCACUGAUAGAGCUGCAUGCAGACUGGACCUCUCAUCUGGUGACGAGUGGGGAAUGUCAGGUAGUGCUCUAGAUUUUCCAGAUUGCUGAAAAGAUGAGCUGAGUCUGUCCUAAAGCACAGACCCAAGGCAGCAUUCGUACUGAGUGGUCCUGGAAACCUGGAGAGCAGCCCCCUUUAUGUGGGACUCAAGAUGUAUUUUCCAGUAAUGAACCUAACUUUUAAGAAUCCAGUCUAACUGCUGAAGAUGUGAAUGUAUGGGGUGUGUGUGUAGUGUGUGCACAUGUGUGCAGUAAAUGAUUUUUUCAUUUAAAAAUUCCCACUUCCACCAACUAUGGAGAGAAAUAAUAGGAAAACACAUGUUAUUUAAUUAUGAUUAAUUUCAAUUUCAGUAGAAUCCCAGCUAGAUGUUACAAUUUAUAGCUUUUUAGACAGAGACAUGGCAAAGGCUUUAAAUAAAUCUGUAGGACUUCAUAAUCUCUUCAAACUAUAUUUCUGAUCCUCAAUAAUAAAAUGCUAUUCCAAGCCUAUGAUAAAAACUUUGCCAAUAUCCUUCCUUGGUCAGAAUCCAAGUUUGUUCUGCCAUCCUAUGAAAGUACAUGUGGCUACCAAAAUUUCUUCUUCACAGUACUUAGAUAUUUGAGCUGGAUCUCUAUGGGGGUUGGGGAGUAAGUAAGGUGAUGUUUUUAUAUGCUCUUGUGUUUAGCUUGGAGCCUAAUUUGGGAGAAGCGUGCUCUCUGGAUGAGUUGGCAGAGGAAGCCAGUUGGUUAACAGAGAUAAGAGCAGCAACCCUGGGUUAAACAAGAAUUGCCACAGCCUCAGUAUUGUGUAAUAGGACGGAGGAAAUGCUAAGGCUGUCAGACAUUUUUGCUCCUCCAAAAGUGAGUACUGUUACAGCUGCUAGUGACCAAGAAGUAACCAACAGCCUGAGGAGACUGGUUUGGAGUAGGAGACAAGGUAAUCAUUAGUGAACACAGCAAUUUCUACUGCAGAGGAGGAAUCUGGAGAGAUCAAGAAGGUUCCCUCUCAUAGAGUGGUUCUCAACCUUCCUAAUGCUUCAACCCUUUAAGUUCCUAAGGUUGUAGUGACCUCAACCAUAAAUGAUUUCAUUGCUACUUCAUAACUGUAAUUUUGCUAGUUAUGAAUUGUAAGUAUCUGAAAUGCAGGCUCUGAUAUACAACCCCUUUGAAAGGGUCUUUCAACUCCCCGAAGGGGUCAUGACUCAUGGGUUGAGAACCACUGCUCAAUAGGUCGAACAUAUUUGUUUUUUAUCAUAGCAGUUAUCUUAAAUAAGAAGAUGAUAGAGUACAUAAAUAAAAUGGAAUAUUGCUCAACUCUAAAGAAAAUGAAAUCACAAAAUUUGCUGGGAAAUGCAUGAACUUCGAAUGUACAUUAUGCAAGAACACCCAGUCUCAGAAAGAGAAACACAUGCUCUACCUCAUAUGGAUCCUAGCCUAUAAUGUACACAUGUAGACUGAUGGUGAGUGUAUGUAGUAAGGAAAACGGGGCCGGUCGGUCGUGUUAGAUGACAAGGACAGAAUACAGGUAAAUGACACGUGGGUUGUGAAAGAGUACUGAGCUGAUUUUUUUUCUAGUUUUUACCCUGUCGUGAAUUCUAUGUGAUGGAUAAGUGCAUUAAAAUGUAGUCUAUAGAAGUUCGUGGCUUCAGGAGGACUGUUCCAACUGAGUUCAUUGAGAUGCAUAAACUUUGGGUCUGUACAAGUGCUUGUUUGAAUGGCUGUGUUAAUGUAGCUAGAUGAUGUCUUUUAUUUGCAAGUUCUUUACAAUAAAGUGAUUUAUAAAGAGAGAUGAAAUAGUCUUAAGUCUUUACAUAAAAAGAAAUAAAACCAAAACUGUAUCUAUGAUUGUGUGUUUUAAGAAAAGAUGUAUGCUGACUUUUUUCUUCCUUAUAAUAAAUUUGUCAAAGACACUUUCAGAAAUAAGUUAAUUAUAUUAGAUGUCAACAUGGCCACAGAGCUGCUAAGGCAACUAACUAAUCAGAAUUACAGACCUUUAAGUCGUGUUAUUUUCGUAGGAUAUAACAACAUCAAAUUCAGGUACAAAUUCAUCAAAGACAAGACUUCUUGGUUUGGAAGACUAGGAAGGGCCAUCUUAAAGAAAGUGAGCCUCUCUGCUCUUUGUGGCUGUUGGGAAGUGGGAAUACUCAGUGUUUUUAUCUUGCUUUCCCUCCCCCCUCUUUGUUAUUAGUUUGAGUGCAUAAAUAUUAGCAUCAAGAGAAGACGAGGUCAGAGUGGCAGAGGGAUGGCGUUGACAGGCACAGAAUGGCUUGCAAUGCCUGUUUUUGUAAGAACUCAGUAAGCAAAAUUAUCUCAGGCUGAGAUGUCUCACGCUAUUCAGAGAAGGCCGGCUUUAGUGACAUGUGUCUUGAAUCAUCUGUGUCUAGAUUUGGGGGCAGUUUUUGAUCUUCUGAGGUCUAAUUUACAGCUGCAGAUACUUGUGACUUUGUGUUUGUCCUCCCCAUCCCUUAACCCCCACACCUCAAAUUAUUAUAAGUUCAGUCUUUCAUAUGUUUUCUAAAAAUGGGAAAGUGUUAGAAGUUGUUUUCAGCGCCAUGGGACAUACGUGAAAGUGUGUUUCUUAAAUUAUCAAGUUGGUGUUUCUUAUCUGUUUAUAAGUGUUGAAGGAAGAUUAGGCAGUUACAUUACUUUGGAAAAUAAUAAGUAAAACUCCACCUAUUUUCUACAAAACUUAUCAAGGCAUUUAACAUCCCCUUAACUGUAACUGUUUAAUAUGCUCAUCCUUAUAGGACACGAAUAAAAUUAAACACAUCAAAAACAAAAAGCAUCCCCUCCUUUACUGGGAUGGCCUCAGCUCAUCCCUUAUAAUCACUGCAUGUAGCCAAUAUGAUAAACAUAUUCUUACCCUUAAAUAGGUUAAUAUAAACCUAAUAACCCUUGGAUGUCCAGUUCUCAGAUCUAAUAAGUUUCUGUUUGCAGAAAUUGACUAUUAUGGAAAAUCAUACAUUUUCUACUCAAUAAGGGUAAUGUUUUAUUUAUAUGUGUGUAGUACUUUGCCUGCAUGUAUGUCUGCACCUCUGUGUGCCUGAUACCUAAGGAAGCCAGACGAUGGUAUCGGAUUCCCUGGAACCAGAGUUAGAGACGGCUUUGAGCCACUCUGUGGGUCCUGGAAAUUGAGCCCAACUCUUCCAGAGGACUGGGGCUCAAUUUCCAGCACCCACAUACGGCUCAUAGCCAUCUCUAACUCCAGUUCCAGGUACAUGAAUUAUACUACCGUUUGAUGACCCGUAUAGGAAAGUAUGAAAAUGUUAUUAAAACAUCCCCCUUUCUGCAUAACUUUAUGAGACUUCCCCGUGUAAAAGAAAAGCUCGAACAAAGUUUGAUAGAUUUAAAGUUUUCCUAAUAGAAAUUGUAAUGUCCCUGCUUGAAGACAUUUUAAAAUAGAAGAUAUUCACAGUGAGUCAGCCUUGUGAACAACCAGAUGUUUUCUUCUGUGUGAAAGGGCUUGACGUGUGGUAGGAUGCCCACUCUAACUAAGGAUAGAGAAGCCCGAAAGCUCUGUUAGACCUGUCUGAGACUUGCCCUCUUUCCCUUAUGGGUGAUAAUCUCGGCAUUCCCUGUUGCUGUCCAAAGGACCUUUUCUGCAGUCUGCUCUGCCCCGUUUCACACACAGGAGUGCAUGAAAAAGGAUGGCAUUGUCACAUAUCAUUUCAUAUAACUCUAAGCAUAUGCCUGCCUUUUUAAAUUAUUACUUAUGCACAGCUGCUGAAAAUUGGUGUCAUGCCAUAGGUUGGAAGUAGGAGGUGAUUUGUCACACACAAUGUCCAAAAGCCAGCAGCGGAGCGGGCCACUGGAAAUGGGGUUCCAUUUCUGGAGUAAGGAGAAAGGUUGGAUGAGGGGGGAAAUGGUGAAAAAUGCAGUUCAGAAGACUGGACUGAACAAGAUUCAUACCACAGAUCCCUUCUAAUCAUACUUGCAGACACAGCCCAUGUUCAGUCUCCUCCUUUCCCCCCUCCCCCGCCACGUACACACACACACACACACACACACACACACACACACACACACACACACGUUUUUAAUCCUUUAAGUUGCUUUGAAAGUAAGAUCAAGAGAGGUUAAUAUGGUUGUCUUGACAACAGCAGGUUAGACCUGGGAAGUGAGUUGGCUCUGUGCCGCUGUCGUAUGUUCUCUUGUCUCAGGUUACAUCAGACACACUAAUUUAUGGCACGCUAAUUGCAUGGGUACACUUCUCUAAUAGAAAGGUCAAUAUAAAGAUUUCAAGGACUCCUCUGGCCCCUCCCAUCGAGUAGCAACAUCCACUGACUAGUUGUAUGUUCCCUUGGCCAUUUUCUCUUCUGCUCAUGCAAUCUCUAGCGUGUGUACACAUCCGUAUAUCAUCAUUGCGUGAGUACAUGUAUGUGUAUGCUAUGUUGAUAAUUUUUGACUAAUGUUUUCUUUAACUAUACCUGGUUUGUGUGAACAUGAAUAGAGUAUUUUUAACACUCGGCAAGCGGGAAAGCCCUGCUGCUUACCCUCCUCUCAUAGCUUCAUUUGAUACUUUACUGUUUAUGCAUUCAAUGCCCACUGCAGGCUACCUUCAAGAAGUUUCUACUUGAAAAUUGAAAGUGUACAAAAAUAGUAUCAGGCUCUUUAUUAAAACCGUGAAGGAGUCUUUCUGUGGUAUAUCGCCUUUGCUAGGAGAUGGGCCGCAUGGGAAAGGAUUCUAAGUACAUGCGCACCUCUCCAGUGUCUGUCUGUGCACAUUUGUUUAUGUUAAAGGCAUUUUGCCUUGACACCUGUUGACCCUGUCUGCACUUCUAAGACACCAAGCUCUCCAGUGUCUUAAUAAAGUUAAGGCUUCGCUUGAAUGGACAUGUCAGUCUGCUAUGCUUUCCCUGUGAAUUUCAAGGCAGGGCUGAAGGAAUCAAGUGUGUGUGCAAAAUAAGCCACAGCUGUCAGUCAUCCACCAUGUUUUAAGUGUAAGAAAGAGACAUGUAUUUGUUUUAUAGUUGGCAUGGAUACAAGCAGGAAUGAGAAAUGUCAAGAAUUCACGGCAUUUAUGAUUAUGAUUAGUUAGUUGAAUCUAAGCACCUCUAGAUCCAGUCGUGGAUCAUGUGACUUUUCCAUAAAAAUAUCAAGCAUAGAUUCUGACUAGCAGUGUGCACAGAGCUCCCCUGCCAGGCAGUUAAGGUGGCAGUGUCCAGAAAGGCCUCCCUCGUGCCCGGCGAUCACGAUUGGUAGUUAUUUCAGUCAUUCACACAUUUCUCAUUUGCUCUGGCAGACAAGGAGCAAGCUUAGGUUUUUUUUUUUUUUUUCAAUAUGAUCAAACCCUGGCACUGAAGUGCUUUUAUAAUUACUGCAAUUUAUAAUUUUAGCAAUAAUUACUAAGUACACAAGAAUUGUCUAAAAAUAAAAUAAAGAUUCUUAAUCUUGUUAACUCUAAUACUGGCUUGCUUAGAGAUGUAGAGUGAGCGGUUUUAUAUUCUAGCCUUAUUUCUCCCAAGGUGGGCUAAGAUUUGUCAUACAUAGCAUUACGCUGUCUGAAAACCCCAGGUCAGUGCUGCGCUGUUUGAAGUGGUAACUAUGCAGAGUGUAUCCCAGAAUGACAUAGUUUAGAAUGAAAGUAGUUAAGAAUUUAAAAGUAUCUUUUUUUUUCUAUAAACGAUAUGGAUGUAAUAGUAAUCUUUUCAAAACUAAAUAAAGGUCUUUAUGUUUCUUGGAGAAAACUA